GAUGAACGCUGGCGGCGUGCCUAAUACAUGCAAGUCGAGCGAACAGACGAGGAGCUUGCUCCUUCGACGUUAGCGGCGGACGGGUGAGUAACACGUAGGUAACCUACCUAUAAGACUGGGAUAACUUCGGGAAACCGGAGCUAAUACCGGAUAAUAUUUCGAACCGCAUGGUUCGAUAGUGAAAGAUGGCUUUGCUAUCACUUAUAGAUGGACCUGCGCCGUAUUAGCUAGUUGGUAAGGUAACGGCUUACCAAGGCAACGAUACGUAGCCGACCUGAGAGGGUGAUCGGCCACACUGGAACUGAGACACGGUCCAGACUCCUACGGGAGGCAGCAGUAGGGAAUCUUCCGCAAUGGGCGAAAGCCUGACGGAGCAACGCCGCGUGAGUGAUGAAGGUCUUCGGAUCGUAAAACUCUGUUAUUAGGGAAGAACAAACGUGUAAGUAACUGUGCACGUCUUGACGGUACCGAAUCAGAAAGCCACGGCUAACUACGU
rnacentral:rRNA from 1 species